rfam:Rattus norvegicus chromosome 5, whole genome shotgun sequence.
GGGGAUUUAGCUCAGUGGUAGAGCGUUUGCCUAGCAAGCACAAGGCCCUGGGUUCGGUCCCCAGCUCCG